rnacentral:piRNA from 1 species
UAAGUACAGUACUUUCUGGGGU